rnacentral:rRNA from 1 species
AUUGAACGCUGGCGGCAGGCCUAACACAUGCAAGUCGAGCGAGCGGCGGACGGGUGAGUAAUGUAUGGGGACUGCCCGAUAGAGGGGGAUACCUACUGGAAACGGUGGCUAAUACCGCAUACUAUCGGAUAACCCAUAUGGGAUUAGCUAGUAGGUGGGGUACAGGCUCCCCUAGGCGACGAUCUCUAGCUGGUCUGAGAGGAUGAUCAUCCUAACUGUGACUGAGACACGUCCCAGACUCCUACGGAGGCAGCAGUGGGGAAUAUUGCACAAUGGGCGCAAGCCUGAUGCAGCCAUGCCGCGUGGAUGAAGAAGGCCUUAGGGUUGUAAAGUACUGUCAGCGGGGAGGCGUUACCCGCAGAAGAAGCACCGGCGAACGCCGUGCCAGCAGCCGCGGUAAUAC